rnacentral:rRNA from 1 species
GAGGGGCAGCGGGGGAGUGGCAACACUUCCGCCGGCGACCGGCGCACGGGUGAGUAACACGUAUGAAACCUGCCCGCAGCAGGGGGAUAAGCGGAAGAAAUUCCGUCUAAUACCGCGUAACAACCGACGGGGGCAUCCCUGUUGGUUCAAAGGAGCGAUCCGGCUGCGGAUGGUCAUGCGGCGCAUUAGCUAGUUGGCGGGGCAACGGCCCACCAAGGCGACGAUGCGUAGGGGUUCUGAGAGGAAGGUCCCCCACACUGGUACUGAGACACGGACCAGACUCCUACGGGAGGCAGCAGUGAGGAAUAUUGGUCAAUGGCCGAGAGGCUGAACCAGCCAAGUCGCGUGAGGGAUGACGGCCCUACGGGUUGUAAACCUCUUUUGCCGGGGAGCAAAGAGCGGGACGCGUCCCGCCUCGAGAGUACCCGGAGAAAAAGCAUCGGCUAACUCCGUGCCAGCAGCCGCGGUAAUACGGAGGAUGCGAGCGUUAUCCGGAUUUAUUGGGUUUAAAGGGUGCGCAGGCGGAAGCGCAAGUCAGCGGUAAAAUUGAGAGGCUCACCCUCUUCCCGCCGUUGAAACUGCGUUUCUUGAGUGGGG